CGAGCGGUAACAGAUCCAGCUUGCUGGAUGCUGACGAGCGGCGGACGGGUGAGUAAUGCAUAGGAAUCUGCCCGAUAGUGGGGGAUAACCUGGGGAAACCCAGGCUAAUACCGCAUACGUCCUACGGGAGAAAGGGGGCUCCGGCUCCCGCUAUGGGAUGAGCCUAUGUCGGAUUAGCUAGUUGGUGAGGUAACGGCUCACCAAGGCCACGAUCCGUAGCUGGUCUGAGAGGAUGAUCAGCCACAUCGGGACUGAGACACGGCCCGAACUCCUACGGGAGGCAGCAGUGGGGAAUAUUGGACAAUGGGGGAAACCCUGAUCCAGCCAUGCCGCGUGUGUGAAGAAGGCCCUCGGGUUGUAAAGCACUUUCAGCGAGGAAGAACGCCUAGCGGUUAAUACCCGCUAGGAAAGACAUCACUCGCAGAAGAAGCACCGGCUAACUCCGUGCCAGCAGCCGCGGUAAUACGGAGGGUGCAAGCGUUAAUCGGAAUUACUGGGCGUAAAGCGCGCGUAGGUGGCUUGAUAAGCCGGUUGUGAAAGCCCCGGGCUCAACCUGGGAACGGCAUCCGGAACUGUCAAGCUAGAGUGCAGGAGAGGAAGGUAGAAUUCCCGGUGUAGCGGUGAAAUGCGUAGAGAUCGGGAGGAAUACCAGUGGCGAAAGGCGGCCUUCUGGACUGACACUGACACUGAGGUGCGAA
rnacentral:rRNA from 1 species